GACGAACGCUGGCGGCGUGCUUAACACAUGCAAGUCGAACGGAAAGGCCCUGCUUUUGUUGUGUGCUCGAGUGGCGAACGGGUGAGUAACACGUGAGUAACCUGCCCUUGACUUUGGGAUAACUUCAGGAAACUGGGGCUAAUACCGUAUAGGAGCUCCUGCUGCAUUGUGGGGGUUGGAAAGUUUCGGCGGUUGGGGAUGGACUCGCGGCUUAUCAGCUUGUUGGUGGGGUAGUGGCUUACCAAGGCUUUGACGGGUAGCCGGCCUGAGAGGGUGACCGGCCACAUUGGGACUGAGGUACGGCCCAGACUCCUACGGGAGGCAGUAGUGGGGAAUAUUGCACCAUGGGCGGAAGCCUGAUGCAGCAACGCAGCGUGCGGGAUGACGGCCUUCGGGUUGUAAACCGCUUUCGCAUGUGACGAAGCGUGAGUGACGGUAAUGGGUAAAGAAGCACCGGCUAACUACGUG
rnacentral:rRNA from 1 species